AAAGCGGAUAAAAGCCGAUGCAAACGGAACAGGUUUUCACAUUGAUUAUGCAGAUAGCACUAGAUAAAUCUGAGAUCAUUGUGAAAACUUAUUGCGUACCACGACGCCAGGGAUCGAGAAGC
rnacentral:pre_miRNA from 10 species